rnacentral:lncRNA from 1 species
AGAGGCUUUCCUGACCUUUGCCAAAAAGAGAGGAUGGGCUUCCAAAUGCAGAGGAGCCAUUUCCAUCUCAAAGAGACAGGGUCCUGCCCCGCCACCCAGGCUGGACUGCAGCGGCUCGAUCGUAGCUUUCUGCAGCCUCCAACUCCUGGGCUCAAGCAAUCCUCUUUCUUCAGCCUCCCGAGUCACUGGGACUACAGCAACAAAUUGACAGUUAUCAAAGAAAGAAGAAAGCUCCCUGGGUUUUGUGUUUGGGAAGAAGGGCAGGAUGAUUGGUGGGAAUAAGGAGAUGGAAG